rnacentral:rRNA from 1 species
AAAACGACUCUCGGCAACGGAUAUCUCGGCUCUCGCAUCGAUGAAGAACGUAGCGAAAUGCGAUACUUGGUGUGAAUUGCARAAUCCCGUGAACCAUCGAKUCUUUGAACGCAAGUUGCGCCCUAAGCCGUUAGGCCGAGGGCACGCCUGCCUGGGUGUCACGC